GUGCAGGAGAGUUCACAUGCACGGAUAUCAGUUAAAAGGAAGUUGGAUUGUAAACCAAUGUUAGUAAUAGAGUAUAUACGUUAGCUAUGCUGGCUUGGUGACUGUAGCCAACUAACAAUCAAUGUGAUAUAAACACAGCAUUAUGCAAUCGAUAAAAUACUUGUUUGCAAACAAAGAACAAACAGAAGCUUCCUAAGCAAAUGCCUGGAUGUUUGUUCAGUCUUUCUUCUGUAGCGCAGAUGUGUCUGCGAUUGGUCGCGCGGCUUGUUCAUCAAGGAAACUUUGACUUGGGCACCAUCUCUGGAUCUCUACUGCGCUAUCUGUAGAAAGUCGAUCUCCAUGCUGGCUCUCUUCCGUCCUUUCGUUGUUACUGGAGUUGGAAGAUGUGCUGGCUUGCUGUUGCAGGAAGAGAGAACACCAAGGCCUGAAGCCGGUAAGGCCAGCUUCCUGAGAACCUACACCCACACUUCUGAAACACAGCUGAAAUCAUCUGGGCGAGCACAAAAGCAAAGAGAGCCACCUGUUGCUGAGAUACGGCAGGAGCUGUGGAACUGCAAAUAAGUGUGGUAGGAAACACUUUU